CCAGACUCCUACGGGAGGCAGCAGUGAGGAAUAUUGGUCAAUGGGCGCUAGCCUGAACCAGCCAAGUAGCGUGAAGGAUGACUGCCCUAUGGGUUGUAAACUUCUUUUAUAUGGGAAUAAAGUGCAGUAUGUAUACUGCUUUGCAUGUACCUUAUGAAUAAGGAUCGGCUAACUCCGUGCCAGCAGCCGCGGUAAUACGGAGGAUCCGAGCGUUAUCCGGAUUUAUUGGGUUUAAAGGGAGCGUAGGCGGGUUGUUAAGUCAGUUGUGAAAGUUUGCGGCUCAACCGUAAAAUUGCAGUUGAUACUGGCAGUCUUGAGUGCAGUUGAGGUAGGCGGAAUUCGUGGUGUAGCGGUGAAAUGCUUAGAUAUCACGAAGAACCCCGAUUGCGAAGGCAGCUUACUAAACUGUGACUGACAUCGAUGCUCGAAAGUGUGGGUAUCAAACAGGAUUAGAUACCCGAGUA
rnacentral:rRNA from 1 species